AAAGUGCGAAACGUAAUGCGAUCCGCACCACCUGUGAGUCAUCGAGUCUUUGAACGCACAUGGCACUCGCGGCUUCGGCGGCGAGUAUACCUGUUUGAGCGUCGGUUUGAACAUACUGUGAAAGCAGUGAGGUGACUUUCUCUGCGAGUCAGUCCAAAUGGAUGUGCGGGGCGUGGAGAACGGCGGUCUGCCCCGUGUGGUACGGACGCGAGUCCAAUAGCACUGUGGCAGGGAGUCUGAUCCACACAACCCAACACACAUACCAACACCAACAAACGACCUCAAAUCAGGCAAGGCUACCCGCUGAACUUAA
rnacentral:misc_RNA from 1 species